rnacentral:rRNA from 1 species
GGAACGUGUCUUCUAGUGGGGGAUAACUGCCCGAAAGGGCAGCUAAUACCGCAUGAGACCUGAGGGUGAAAGCGGGGGAUCGCAAGACCUCGCGCUGGAAGAGCGGCCGAUGUCCGAUUAGCUAGUUGGUGAGGUAAAGGCUCACCAAGGCGACGAUCGGUAGCUGGUCUGAGAGGACGACCAGCCACACUGGGACUGAGACACGGCCCAGACUCCUACGGGAGGCAGCAGUGGGGAAUUUUGGACAAUGGGGGCAACCCUGAUCCAGCCAUGCCGCGUGCAGGAUGAAGGUCUUCGGAUUGUAAACUGCUUUUGUCAGGGACGAAAAGGGAUGCGAUAACACCGCAUUCCGCUGACGGUACCUGAAGAAUAAGCACCGGCUAACUACGUGCCAGCAGCCGCGGUAAUACGUAGGGUGCAAGCGUUAAUCGGAAUUACUGGGCGUAAAGCGUGCGCAGGCGGUUCUGUAAGAUAGAUGUGAAAUCCCCGGGCUCAACCUGAGAAUUGCAUAUAUGACUGCAGGACUUGAGUUUGUCAGAGGAGGGUGGAAUUCCACGUGUAGCAGUGAAAUGCGUAGAUAUGUGGAAGAACACCGAUGGCGAAGGCAGCCCUCUGGGACAUGACUGACGCUCAUGUAC